ACAAUUCAACCAAAUAAAUACAAAAACAAAAGAUAUAAAGUUGAAAAUAAAAGAUAAACUCUGACUUAACCCAAAAAGAGGGGAAAGCAAAGAGUUUUUUGAUUGGAUCAAAAAGGCGGUAAAUCAGUGUGCAUGGUAACGUGAUUUAAUGGCACAAUGGCUUCAAUCAACUUGAUAAUCAUCUUCAUUUAUCAUCGGUUGAUUAACAAUGUUAUUGUUUCCAUCAUGUAAAUAAUUGAAUGGUGACUUUUUGGAUCAAUAUACAUAUAUUAUUCAAAUGAUCAUGUUACAAUUUAUCCUUGUUUGUUUGAUUUUCUGGUUAACAUAUGGUGAAUCACUUAGGUUUUUUUGGCUACAAGAUUUGAAUUUUCCGGUAACUCGCAGCUUUUUUCACAUCAUUCUCACUAAUGGGUUAAUUUUUUGUGACCGUUGCAACGUUUCACCUUAACUCAUCUGGUACUUGAAUAUUAUUUCAACUGCUUUCUGCUGUUCACCAGACAAAUUGUAUUUCCAUCUUAAUCUAAUGGAAAACUAAUGGAGUGGAUGGAACCAUAAUUUAAAAGGUUAAAUCAAAUGAUGAUGAUCACAAUCAAGAGCCAAAAAUGACUUUUGUUUACAUUUUAUAUUGGCUAAUGUAUGCACCAAUGCGCUUUCAAAUAGGACAAGAUUGGAAAUGAUUUUCAUUUGAAUUUAUCGAUUGCAGCUGACAAGAUAUGCGUCUGAAAACAUUCAUAUUACACCAUUAAAUACGGAAAAGAUCUCGACUUUUAGACUGAUGGCUUCACCGAGAGACUAACUUUAAAUUUUGGGUGAAAAAAUGGAUUCAUUGAUUGAAAAUCAUCAAAAUUGCGAUCUUUUAAAACCUGGAUUCCUUGAAUUUAAUGACUUCUGAUUUUGAUUGUGGCUUUUAUUUAAAUAUAUGGUGAUGAGACUUACCAAUGAUAAUAUUUGAA